CUCCAAAUGUUGUUGGAUUCCAACUCGCAUCAGCCCCAGCUAGCAUGGCUAAUCGCAAGGGGUGAUGGGAGUUGGAGUCCAACGACAUCUGGAG